rnacentral:rRNA from 1 species
CGCGUAGGCGGGAUGGCAAGUCGGCCGUGAAAUCCUUCGGCUCAACCGAAGAACGUCGAUCGAUACUGCUGUUCUUGAGGGUUGCAGAGGAGACUGGAAUUCCCGGUGUAGCGGUGAAAUGUGUAGAGAUCGGGAGGAACACCGGUGGCGAAGGCGGGUCUCUGGGCAACUCCUGACGCUGAGGCGCGAAAGCGUGGGGAGCAAACGGGAUUAGAUACCCCGGUAGUCCACGCUGUAAACGAUGACGACUAGGUGUGGGGGGGUUCAGUCCCUUCCGUGCCGCAGCUAACGCAUUAAGUCGUCCGCCUGGGGAGUACGGCCGCAAGGUUGAA